rfam:Thermoplasmatales archaeon SG8-52-4 WOR_8-12_5539, whole genome shotgun sequence.
GGGGGUAUGGUGUAACCCGGCAUCAUUGUGGGCUCCAGUUAGGUAUGAUUACAAGAGGGUCAUCUGAUCUGUGAUGAAUAACUGGAGCGAUGACCUAAGAAGAGACCCGCCGAUCUGGGUUCAAAUCCCAGUACCCCCA